UAUUCCUUUACUGCACUAUCGAAUACUUGUCUGGAGGAACCGGAGGGACUUGGGCCCUGAGGGAAUUCUUCUGGUAAUUUCAACACAGCUUGCCCGGUGUAUAUGUAGCCACGAGAAUCAAGCUCCGAAAUUGAAACCAUGGAUAUUUGGGAAAAAGAAUGAUGGAAGGGUUUUAGGUUGGGACAGCAGUUAUGAAUGCAUUGAUCAAUGCAAGGAAAGCUGUUGAUAAGUCUUCUCCGGUUGAAGUGGAAACAGUGCCCAUACUAUCCACAAGCGCUGCUUAUGGUGUCUAUAUGGCAGUAUUUAGCAAUCUCCGGUAUAUGUAGGUGGUCUUAUUGCAAUGUUGGCAUCCUUCUACUUACUAUCUCAGGGGUGGGCCAUGGCAACAUAUUCUCCAUUCU